UUUGGCAUAAUGGUUUGACCUGUUAAGGGAGAAGAAGAGAUGAGUUACGAAAAUGAAAGAGGUUAAGUGACUUUUGCUGAUAUUUGUUUCUCACUCUUGCAUUGGUGAGUUCAUAUAUUUUAUUAUCUUUUUUGAAGCUUUACCUUUCUUGUAAAACAUUACAUAGCUUUCUGCCUCAUGAUUUUAGCUUUGUGUUUUCCAAUGUAAUGUUAAAAAUAGCUUGUCAACUCACCUACAUAUUUAAAAGUAGAAAAAACUAAUUAGAAUCCACCAAGUAUGUUAUUAUCUCAUAUAAAUUUGAAUAUUGCAUAGGAAAAUCAAAACUGAAUAGCCAAAAAAUAUAGUUGGGGAGAUAGUUUGUCAUUUAGAGAAUGGUCAUUGAUCUACAAGAAAGCAACUUCAAUAAAUAAAGAGUUUAUAAUGUUAAAGCUCAAAUAUUUGUCUAAUAUCUAUAAAUUUGUCUUAUAUAACCUAAAACGAUUAAACCUAUAGAUUAUAGCCUAAAAUUAUAAGGUUUGGGAGAAAUAAACACAUACUUGAUUACUUUUUUAAAAACAUUUUGCAUAAAAUGAAGUUAUCUGUGUUUUUACAUGUUAAUGUCUUUGUAUGAUGUCAUCAUCUAAAAUUGUAAAUGAUUAAAUUUUAUUAACAUUUGAAAUAAAUGAUAUAAACUAGACAUGAAAAUAAAUGAAUAAAUAGACAAAAGUAUUUGUAUGUCUUCAUGACUAUCUUUUCAUUUUAAGGUCAUAGUAUCAUCAUAUUAAACAAUGAGCAUUAACAUUCAUUGUGAUCCAUUUAAUACAUGGAUAUAUCACAUACACUAUGUUAUAUAAUGCACCACUCGAAAAAAUGAUAUAAACUUGACAUGGAAAUAAAUCAAUAAAUAGACAAAAAAGUAAUUUCUAUGUCUUCAUGAUUAUCUUUUCAUUUUAAGGUCAUAGUAUCAUCGAUAUUAAACAAUGAGAAUUAGAAUGCAUCAACACACAUUUAAAAAAAUUAUAUGACACACUCAUAAGUAUAUAAUACACCACACGAAAAUCCAAAGUAUUAGAAAAUUACAAUGUUCUAUCUAGCUAUGAAAUAAUUAAUGUAUAUAAAUGAAUAUAUAAAUAUAUAACAUAAUGUGUAAAAAAUAAUAAAAGAUCAUUGUAUCAUUAUGGUUAAUUUAUUUGUUGAAAUUAAUAAAACGACAAAAACAAUUACCUUAACUUAACGUGAUGAACAAAUUAUUUUAGUUUUAAAAGUACUUAGAUGUGGUGAAGAGGUAAAUAAGCAAAUUUACUAAACAUGAGGGCAGUGAGAUGUAUAUUUUGUGUUUUGUACUUAUCAGUUACUAAUAGCAAACUACCUUCACAUUUUUAUAUAUGGGAGAAUAGUGUUUCAAACUUAAUUAUGUUAGUUUUAAAAGUACUUAGAUGUGGUGAAGAGGUAAAUUUUCAAAUUUACUAAACAUGAGGGCAGUCAUAUUUAUAUUUUGUGUUAUGUACUUAUGAGUUACUAAUAGCAAACUAUAUUCACACUUUUAUAUAUGGGAGAGUAGUGUUACAAACUUAGUUAGUCUCAGUUUGUGGGUAGUAAAGGAUGAGGUCACAAAAUAUACAUCAAACUAUGAUGUAUUAAAAUAUAGUUCUCAAAAGGUUAUACAUAAUUUAUCAAGUUUCUAUUAGUCACUCAGUCUUGAUAUGUUUUGCCACCUUCGAAGAUGACAACUAAGUAGAUUUAAAGAUGGGGCUUUGUGACAUGUCCAAAUCUAAGUCAAUCGACAUUCUCUUGGCUGGAGUUAGUAAUUGAAGGUUGUCUGGAUCAUGAUCAUCAAUGAUAGAUAGAGACUAACCAUGCAAGUUGAAAACAUGUCAAUAAAUCACAUUUAUAACAGGAAUUAUUUUUGCAUCUUAAACAUUAUAUUCAAUUAUGGAUGUCACUCACAGAUUCAUAUUGAGACAUGUCAUCGAGAUGACACUUUCUAUUAAGUUCUUUAGAGGUCGAACCCUUGUUAAAAGCAGGUAAAAAUUAAUUUUGAUUGUAUUAGAAAUAUAAAAAAAUUAAAACUGGGUAAAACAAAAAUAUCAUUAACUCACAAUAUGUAUCUCCAAUGUUCCAAACUGAUCAGCAAUGGACUUGAUCAACAUCAGACUUUCAGAUAGCCUUAUCAGAGAAGAUUGGUGGUAAGAUGGUUGGACUUUAACUUUAAAUGUCAUUGUCCUUGCAAGCAACAUGUCAAGUAUUAGAGGGAAUGCCUUUGGAUCAUCCUCAC
rnacentral:lncRNA from 1 species